CAAAUGAAGUAACCUAGCUAAAUUAUCAUCCCAGGGUCCAUUCCAAGUGGUCCCGUUGUCGCAGUUCGUCCCAUCUAUACCUACUAUUAAAGCACAAGCUGUAAAAAAAGAGAUUCCAUUUGCUUUGACGUGUUACCCAAUUUUCAACCUUGUUUUAUGGCUAACUAAUGGAAACCAUUGUAUGUGACUUUCAAACUCCAUCAGGGACAGGCUUCAGAGGGUACAAACACCAUAGCAUCUGCACGUGAAAUCCUAAGAAUACGGCUUUUGCGUUCAUACUAAGAUUGGCCUGUUCUAACAAGAAUGAAAGCCAUGGCCCGAUGGCUGGACAGCAAAUUCUUGGGCGUACUGGAACAACUUUCAGUAACAAGCUUUCUGAAACAACCUCCAUCCUAGGCAACCUAGCACUUGGCCAGAAGUUGAGUAAAUUCAUUGGGGCUAGUUUUGCCUAAAUUUAUGGGCAUGUCGAUGGCUCUUGCCCACAUGAGCCACCACUUGGGCCGUAAAUUGGGGUCGCCCCGCCGCGCGCGUGUCCCAUAAAUCAUGGAUGUAGAGGGUGCCAUUCGCCGCACCCGCCAAGGCAUAUCUGGAUUCACACGUGUCCACGUCCAAAUCCGUGAUCCCACUGCUAUGGACCGACACUUGCAGGGUGCGGCACGAACUCAGAGACAAACACGUCAGGCGAUGAUGGAUCAAGUAUUGCUCAUAAUUACACCUGGACACGAAGCCAGCUU